GACGAACGCUGGCGGCGUGCUUAACACAUGCAAGUCGAGCGACUGCAUUCUUUCGGAGGUGUAUGGAGCGGCGAACGGGUGAGUAACACGUGAGUAAUCUGCCUUUGGCUUGGGAAUAACUUCGGGAAAUCGGGGCUAAUGCCUGAUGUUUACUGUCUGCUGCAUGGUGGGUGGUGGAAAGUAUUUUUUGGCCGAGGAUGAGCUCGCGGUCUAUCAGC
rnacentral:rRNA from 1 species